rnacentral:lncRNA from 1 species
CAAGGAGGUCUUCAACAUCACGGGCUCCAGCAGCCCCACCGCCUGCAUGAGACUUGUGCAAAGGCUGCUCAACUCCUCCUCUUCCUGCAGCCUCUCCAAGCAUUCCCUCAGCAGUGUUCUCCAGCCCCUCCAGACCAGGUUUCUGGUGAUUUCUGAGGCCAUGGACUUCAUGAGAGAAACUGUUCCCUCUCCUGACUUGGGCCAGGCUGUCAAGAGGCUGUGUGGGAUGUCCCUCAAAGAGCUGGUUAGGGAGUCCCAAGCAAGCCAGGAUACACUUGCUGAGUACUGUGCUGUGUCUGCCUUCAUCUUCCAUCUCAGCACAAAGGGGUACACGCUCGACGUUGACCGGCCUGCUUGGACUGCGUUCCAGAAGAAGGUCAGUCACAGUUACCAGGGAGGGCUGGUUCCACACUCACAAGCCCUGACCAGCUGGGCUUCUCCAGCAGGAUGGUUUUGCAAAGUGGAUUCACAGUUGUGAUAAAGAAGAAAACCGGUGUCACAGAGCUAGAGGUGACACUUGUCCCUGCUGAAAAACAGACCUUGUCUGGAGCAACGCCGUCUUUAGGAGUCUGUGACAGGGAAGGAAGUGCAGCUUGAUCU